AAAAAAAGUAGGGGAUGAGCUGUGGGUAGGGGUGAAAGGCUAAACAAAUCCGGAAAUAGCUGGUCCUCUCCGAAAGCUAUUUAGGUAGCGCCUCGUGUAUUACUUCCGGGGGUAGAGCACUGUUUUGGCUAGGGGAUCAUUCAAGAUCUACCAACCCAAUGCAAACUCCGAAUACCGGAAAGUAUGAGCUCGGGAGACAGACGCCGGGUGCUAACGUCCGACGUCAAGAGGGAAACAACCCAGACCGCCGUCUAAGGUCCCCAAUGAUUAGCUAAGUGGUAAACGAGGUGGGAAGGCAUAAACAGCCAGGAGGUUGGCUUAGAAGCAGCCAUCCUUUAAAGAAAGCGUAAUAGCUCACUGGUCGAGUCGUCCCGCGCGGAAGAUGUAACGGGGCUCAAGCUAAUAACCGAAGAUGCGGAUGUGUAUGUCCUUCGGGGCAUAUGCGUGGUAGGAGAGCGUUCCGUAGGCCUGUGAAGGUGGGGUGUAAACCUUGCUGGAGGUAUCGGAAGUGCGAAUGCUGACAUGAGUAGCGAUAAAGCGGGUGAAAGGCCCGCUCGCCGAAAGCCCAAGGUUUCCUGCGCAACGUUCAUCGGCGCAGGGUGAGUCGGCCCCUAAGGUGAGGGCGAAAGCCGUAGCUGAUGGGAAUCUGGUUAAUAUUCCAGAACCGCCGUGUAAUGCGAUGGGGGGACGGAGAAGGUUAGGCAGACCGGGUGUUGGAUGUCCCGGUGAAGUGUGUAGGUGGAUCCCUUAGGCAAAUCCGGGGGGUUAACACCAAGGCACGGGACCAGGACUCUUUGAGUCUGAAGUUGCUGAUACCACGCUCCCAGGAAAAGCCUCUAAGCUUCAGUUACACGGGACCGUACCGUAAUCGGACACACGUGGGCAGGAUGAAAAUUCUAAGGCGCUUGAGAGAACUCAGGAGAAGGAACUCGGCAAAUUGACACCGUAACUUCGGAAGAAGGUGUGCCCUGGUAGGUUGUAGCCGUACAGGCGAAGGCCGAAGGGGUUGCAAAAAAUCGGUGGCUGCGACUGUUUAAUAAAAACACAGCACUCUGCAAAGAUGAUGAAUCGACGUAUAGGGUGUGACGCCUGCCCGGUGCCGGAAGGUUAAAUGAUGGGGUGCAAGCUCUUGAUUGAAGCCCCGGUAAACGGCGGCCGUAACAAUAACGGUCCUAAGGUAGCGAAAUUCCUUGUCGGGUAAGUUCCGACCUGCACGAAUGGCGUAACGAUGGCCACACUGUCUCCUCCUGAGACUCAGCGAAGUUGAAGUGUUUGUGAUGAUGCAAUCUACCCGCGGCUAGACGGAAAGACCCCGUGCACCUUUACUGUAGCUUUGCAUUGGACUGUGAUGGGAUCUGUGUAGGAUAGGUGGGAGCCUGUAAGCGGUGGCGCUAGCCAUCGUGGAGGCAACUUGAAAUACCACCCUGAUGUCAUUGCGGUUCUAACCUUGGCCCCUAUAGCGGGGUUGGGGACAGUGCAUGGUAGGCAGUUUGACUGGGGCGGUCUCCUCCU
rnacentral:rRNA from 1 species